AAAUUGGAGAAUUGUCCAAAUUCAGUGAUAUGUCCUGGAAUCUAUGACCUAACCUUCCUCAUUUUUCUCUCAAAAGGGUGCCCCUCUAUGGAGCUGCCACCAAUUCCUCUCAAAUCCAUCGUGUUGCCGCCUCCAAGACCACCAAAAUUUCACCUCUCCAUCGGUUCCAAUACUCCCUUGAUCCAUCACAACCAAACAAUUAUGUAAACAGCCACAAAUUCGACUCAAAAUCAGCCCUAGAUACAAUAAGAAAUUCAAUACUUUUUCACUGGUUUUGGCCAUUCCGUC
rnacentral:lncRNA from 1 species